rnacentral:rRNA from 1 species
CCUACGGGAGGCUGCAGUGAGGAAUAUUGGUCAAUGGACGAGAGUCUGAACCAGCUAAGUAGCGUGAAGGAUGACUGCCCUAUGGGUUGUAAACUUCUUUUAUAUGGGAAUAAAAUGUUCCACGUGUGGGUUUUUGUACGUACCAUAUGAAUAAGGAUCGGCUAACUCCGUGCCAGCAGCCGCGGUAAUACGGAGGAUCCGAGCGUUAUCCGGAUUUAUUGGGUUUAAAGGGAGCGUAGGUGGAUUGUUAAGUCAGUUGUGAAAGUUUGCGGCUCAACCGUAAAAUUGCAGUUGAAACUGGCAGUCUUGAGUACAGUAGAGGUGGGCGGAAUUCGUGGUGUAGCAGUGAAAUGCUUAGAUAUCACGAAGAACUCCGAUUGCGAAGGCAGCUCACUGGACUGCAACUGACACUGAGGCUCGAAAGUGUGGGUAUCAAACAGGAUUAGAUACCCGGGUAGUC